rnacentral:tRNA from 1 species
AGGGGAGGUCAAACCAACAAGAACUGCUAACUCUCGCCUCUGGACUUAAAACCCCAGUCCCCUU